AUGCACCACAGACUCAGAAGCACCACAGACUCAGAAGCACCACUGACUCAGAACCACCACAGACUCAGAACCACCACAGACUCAGACCCACCACAGACUCAGAAGCACCACAGACUCAGAAGCACCACAGAGACUCAGACGCACCACAGAGACUCAGACGCACCGCAGACUCAGAUGCACCACAGACUCAGAAGCACCACAGACUCAGAAGCACCACUGACUCAGAACCACCACAGACUCAGAACCACCACAGACUCAGACCCACCACAGACUCAGAAGCACCACAGACUCAGAAGCACCACAGACUCAGAAGCACCACAGAGACUCAGACGCACCACAGAGACUCAGACGCACCACAGACUCAGAAGCACCACAGACUCAGACGCACCACAGAGACUCAGAAGCACCACAGACUCAGAAGCACCACAGACUCAGAAGCACCACAGAGACUCAGAAGCACCACAGACUCAGACGCACCACAGACUCAGAUGCAACACAGACUCAGACGCACCACAGACUCAGAAGCACCACAGACUCAGAAGCACCACAGACUCAGAAGCACCACAGACUCAGAUGCAACACAGACUCAGACGCACCACAGACUCAGACGCACCACAGACUCAGAUGCAACACAGACUCAGACGCACCACAGACUCAGAAGCACCACAGACUCAGAAGCACCACAGACUCAGACGCACCACAGACUCAGAAGCACCACAGACUCAGACCCACCACAGACUCAGAAGCACCACAGACUCAGACCCACCACAGACUCAGAAGCACCACAGACUCAGAAGCACCACAGAGACUCAGACGCACCACAGACUCAGACCCACCACAGACUCAGACCCACCACAGACUCAGAAGCACCACAGACUCAGACCCACCACAGACUCAGAAGCACCACAGACUCAGACGCACCACAGACUCAGAAGCACCACAGACUCAGACCCACCACAGACUCAGAAGCACCACAGACUCAGACCCACCACAGACUCAGAAGCACCACAGACUCAGACGCACCACAGAGACUCAGACGCACCACAGACUCAGACGCACCACAGACUCAGAUGCACCACAGACUCAGAAGCACCACAGACUCAGACGCACCACAGACUCAGACCCACCACAGACUCAGAAGCACCACAGACUCAGACCCACCACAGACUCAGAAGCACCACAGACUCAGACCCACCACAGACUCAGAAGCACCACGACUCAGACGCCCACAGACUCAGAAGCACCACAGACUCAGACCCACCACAGACUCAGAAGCACCACAGACUCAGACCCACCACAGACUCAGACGCACCACAGACUCAGACGCACCACAGACUCAGACCCACCACAGACUCAGAAGCACCACAGACUCAGACCCACCACAGACUCAGAAGCACCACAGACUCAGACCCACCACAGACUCAGAAGCACCACAGACUCAGACGCACCACAGACUCAGAAGCACCACAGACUCAGACCCACACAGACUCAGAAGCACCACAGACUCAGAAGCACCACAGACUCAGAAGCACCACAGACUCAGACGCACCACAGACUCAGACCCACCACAGACUCAGACCCACCACAGACUCAGAAGCACCACAGACUCAGACCCACCACAGACUCAGAAGCACCACAGACUCAGACCACCACAGACUCAGAAGCACCACAGACUCAGACCCACCACAGACUCAGAAGCACCACAGACUCAGACCCACCACAGACUCAGAUGCACCACAGACUCAGACCCACCACAGACUCAGAUGCACCACAGACUCAGAAGCACCACAGACUCAGACCCACCACAGACUCAGAUGCACCACAGACUCAGAAGCACCACAGACUCAGACCCACCACAGACUCAGACCACCACAGACUCAGACCCACACAAGACUCAGACCCACCACAGACUCAGACCACCACCAGACUCAGAUGCACCACCACAGACUCAGACACCACAGACUCGAGCUAGCACCACAGACUCAGAAGCACCCACAGACUCAGACCCACCACAGACUCAGAGCACCACAGACUCAGACCCACCACAGACUCAGAUGCACCACAGACUCAGACCCACCACAGACUCAGACCCACCAAAGACUCAGAAGCACCACAGACUCAGACCCACUAAAGACUCAGACCCACCACAGACUCAGACCCACUAAAGACUCAGAAGCACCACAGACUCAGACCCACCACAGACUCAGAAGCACCACAGACUCAGACGCACCACAGACUCAGACGCACCACAGACUCAGAAGCACCACAGACUCAGACGCACCACAGACUCAGACCCACCACAGACUCAGAAGCACCACAGACUCAGACGCACCACAGACUCAGAAGCACCACAGACUCAGACCCCACAGACUCAGAAGCACCACAGACUCAGACCCACCACAGACUCAGAAGCACCACAGACUCAGACCCACCACA
rnacentral:lncRNA from 1 species